rnacentral:lncRNA from 1 species
ACUGUUGUAGCUUGAGUUUAGUAGCCUUUAUGUCCACAGUUCCAACGCAGUAUCUAUGAGUCCAAGUGAAUGCUGUUCGUUUAUUACCAAAUAAUUUAUAUAAAUGAGCAACAAUUUCUCUUCAAGGCGAGAUGAUCCUUACUGGAGCGAGAAUAAAAAGUUAUCUCUAGAUACAGAUGCACGAUUCGGCCACGGGUCUGACUAUCGUCAACAGAGCAGGUUCCUUGACUUCAGCCAUCGAGAGCGGGCCAGGUUUCCUGACACUACGUCUGUGCAGUCAUCAUCCUUUGAAAGACGGGAACGGUUUGUUGGUCAGAGCGAAGGGAAAAAACCGAGACCAGCCACCCGAAGAGAAGAGCCGAGUUUUGAAAGGUACCCUAAGAACUUCAGUGACUCCCGAAGAAACGAGCCCCCACCACCACGAAAUGAACUCAGAGAAACGGACAGGCGAGAGGUGCGAGGGGAGCGAGACGAGAGAAGAACAGUAAUUCUCCAUGACAGGCCUGAGGUCGCUCACCCCAGACACCCUCGAGAAACUGUGCCCAAUCCUUCUAGACCAACCUCCUGGAAAAGUGAAGCGAAUAUGUCCACAGAGAAACGGGAGUCAAGAGUUGAAAGGCCAGAACGGUCUGGGAGAGAAGUCUCAGGGCACACUGUGAGGGGAGCACCCCCUGGGAAUCGGAGUAGUGCCUCAGGCUAUGGAAACCGAGAGGGAGACCGAGGAGUCAUCUCUGACAGAGGAAGUGGAGCUCAGCACUACCCUGAAGAACGACAUGUUGUGGAACGUCAUGGACGGGACACAAGUGGACCAAGGAAAGAGUGGCAUGGCCCACCCUCCCAGGGGCCUAGCUACCAUGACACAAGACGAAUGGGUGAUGGCCGGACAGGAGCAGGCAUGAUAACCCAACACUCA